rnacentral:rRNA from 1 species
AUUGAACGCUGCGGCAGGCUUAACACAUGCAAGUCGAGCGAGCGGCGGACGGGUGAGUAAUGCUUAUGACUCUGCCUAUUAGUGGUGGACAAAAUCUCGAAAGGGAUGCUAAUACCGCAUACUAAUCGAUGAGACUAGUCGGAUUAGCCAGUUGGUGGGGUAUAGUCCUACCAAGGCGACGAUCUGUAGCGGGUCCGAGAGGAUGAUCCGCCACACUGGGAAUGAGACACGGCCCAGACUCCUACGGGAGGCAGCAGUGGGGAAUAUGGCCAAUUGGCGCAAGCCUGAGGCAGCCAUGCCGCGUGUGUGAAGAAGGCCUUCGGGUUGUAAAGCACUUUCAGCGGGGAGGCGUUACCCGCAGAAGAAGCACCGGCUAACUCCGUGCCAGCAGCCGCGGUAAUUC